rnacentral:rRNA from 1 species
UACGUAGGGACCAAGCGUUGUUCGGAUUUACUGGGCGUAAAGAGCGCGUAGGCGGCUCGUUAAGUGUGAAGUGAAAUCUCUAGGGCUCAACCCAGAAACUGCUUUACAUACUGGCGAGCUGGAGUGAUGAAGAGGUUUGUGGAAUUCCUGGUGUAACGGUGAAAUGUGUUGAUAUCAGGAGGAACACCCAUGGCGAAGGCAGCAAACUGGUCAUCAACUGACGCUGAGGCGCGAAAGCGUGGGUAGCAAACAGG